GGCACCAGUUAUCACAACUUACCUCAUGCUAGGUACAUUUAAAAGUCACUGUCUCAAAAGUUCACCAAAUCAAAAUUUCAGUUUUGAACAUGAUUGCACGAAUAUCACCACUCAUGCAACUUCUUCGUAAACAUGACCGUUUUGGCCAAGUUUUACAACUACUGCUACGAAAAUUUGCAUCAUCUAAUCAAGUAU